rnacentral:tRNA from 1 species
GCUCCCAUGAUGGAAUUGGUAGACAUAACAGACUUAAAAUCUGUGGCUUUUUAGCGUCCCGGUUCGAGUCCGGGUGGGAGUA